rnacentral:lncRNA from 1 species
UUAACAGUGACAAAGAUGAUCUUGGCCAACAAUAGGAAUUUAUUGAACACUAUCCAAGUGUGUACUGGAAAGCAAAAGUUCUAGUCAUUUAAUAAAUUACAGAAGUAUCAGUUCAGUACUUGAUCUUGCACCCAAUAAAAAUAUGCAAAGUAGUAUUUCUUCAUGUUUGAUGUUCAAGACACAAGAUCAGUCAUCCCAUCAGGUUUCAAUGAUAUAGAACUAUUGAAAUAAAUGUCACAAAACAUUUAAUAUCAAAAACUGUGAUUGUUUGUAUUGAUAAUGUUGUUAAAGGAAUUUUUCCAAACUCCCUAUUCCUCUGUUACAAAAAAUGUAUUUACAUGGUUGACAACUUGGUGUCUCAGCGUCUGACUUACAAGGUGAUCACUCGAGUAGUUAGAUCUAUGAAGGUGUCUUCAUCACAGGGAAUCGUUAGACCCCCCAUUGGAUGACUAAAGCCAAACUCUUCCUCUACUUGUUGCAGUAAGUCUUGGAAUGAAGGAUGGUUCAAGUAUGACAAUGGAACCACAAACCGUCUCUUUUGGCUCUCUCCAACAUAAACUGCGAUGUGUCCUCUUGGAACAAUCGAGGUUUCUUCUUUAUUUGAAGGAGAUCGUCGGAGACUUCUCUUAAUAUGUGGAAUAACAGGUAAUCGAAUAGCCAUGGAUGCUACAAGAUUGACAAGGAGAAAAAUGUGUAAUGAUUUUGCAAGAGAAAAUGUGAAUGCUUGGAGUUUGACGGUACACUUAGCUAAUACAUGUGUGUAUUUAUAGGGAGGAAAUGGUGGUAAAGAAAUUUUCAUGAGGUCUCUAAAGAGACAUGCCCUUGUGAAGGAUCACAUGGCUUUGUCUGCUAUCUUUAAUUUCUGUAAGGUGGUCACAUUGAUACAUUACUUUAUUUGACAAACAUGUCCUGCCAAGAACAAGCCAGUACAGAAGAGUAGCCACUUACUCUAUAACUGUACCGCCAAGAAAAAAAAACAUGAAGAUUAGUUUGGCCUAAAUACAUAUCCAUACUAAAAUCACCUAAAAACAAAAGGUCCUACCAAGAAGAAGGCAUUAAAUUCGUGUAAUUUAUAUAUAUAACAUCUAUCAAGAAAACAUGAAGAUCAGCUUUGCCUAACCAUGACAAACAAUUAGGUUAGCCUAAACACAUACUAUUGAUCACCACAAAACUGCAGGUGGGCAUGUUAAAAGUUGUCUCAGGCCAUAUGGCUGGGCAAUAAGUGGUACUAAUUGACUAGUUGAUUGAUCUUGAGAAUCAGUUGCAAGGCAGAACCAUGUGAAAAUUUUCAUGAGGCAUGUCCUUUAAGAUGGCAAUACAUCUCUCCAUUUUAUAUAUAUAUAUAUAUAUAUAUAUAUAUAUAUAUAUAUAUAUAGGUUAUGCAUAAGAAAAAUAUCAUCCAAAUCCAUUUUUUCGCAAUCUAUAGCUUCAAAGACUUUCUUACACAACAACCUCUCUCCAACUCUUUAGAACAAUUGAUCAUUAUUGAAACUAUGGGUAUUCGCUUGCCAGGAGUGCUCCGUGCCAGACAAUUUCUGCGACGGGCUAUUCUUACAUCAAUGGCCACAGAUGUCCCUAAAGGCCACUUAGCGGUUUAUGUAGGGGAAAACCAAACAACAAAGAAGCGAUAUGUGGUUCCAGUGUCGUUCUUAAACCAAGCUACAUUCCAAGAGUUACUAAGUAGAGCAGAAGAAGAAAACGGAUUCGUACAUCCAAUGGGUGGACUUACAAUUCCUUGCAAUGAGGAAUUGUUCAUCAAUCUCACCGCUUAUUGGCACUGAUCAUGACAGAUGAGGACGAUACAGAGUAGCAAAUUUUGAUGGAAAGUUUAACAAAAGCAAUUGACUUAGCAAAUCAAUUUCUGUACAGUAGGGAUUAGACAAUGUGUAUAUAUAUUUUUUUGUUUACACUCUAGUUAUCUAUUUUCACCGCAUCCUUUUUGUUCGAUAAAUGGAUUAUGGAUCUAAUGACUUUUAUGCACUUGAUUACAAAAGCACGUAUGUCGUUUCUGAAUUAGCUAUAAAGGUAUAUAAAUCACGUCUAGAAUUCUUUGAUCAGUCAAUGUUACUAAAAUUAACCUAACUAAUAAAAAUUGGAAAUUUCAUAGCAUUUACUGUAAAAGUGCCAGAGAUGAAAUACCUCAUUAGAAUACAAGAACAGUUCUAACUUCAAUAGUUAAAGAUAUAUCAGCUUUUAACGAACCCUUGGGGUGGGAUGAGCAACCGGAGAUGAAAUUAUCAGCUUCUAGCUAACCCUUGGGGGUGAACCGGAGAUGAAAUUGGCCUGUGAAGGAUCAUCAUCAGCUAUAGCUAGUGUCCCACCAUUUCCCCUUUUCCUCAAACGUGAACAUUUGAUCAAACUUCGAAUCAUAAGUAUAAAAGCAAAUCUCCUUUGACUGAGCUGGGGUGGUUCUUUUCUGUUUUUAAUUCUUACUUCUUAGUGAUUGAGUGAUGAUUAUAGUGAUGAAUGACGAUGACGAUUCAUUACCCUUCUCAUUUUCUUCAACUUGGACAGGAGAGUAUUUACCAUCUCUUCUUAUGAAACAAACUGCUCGAAUUCAUUUCACUCUUUAUCGUGUGUGUUAUUACUUGCCACGAACAGAGAAAAAGCUUUGGGGAGACGAGAAAGGAACCACUCAUACAUACUCUUUCACCUUCUAAACCAGGAAACUUCAACUUUCAGAUAAUAGACAUAAAAAAAGCCUCUUCAUGGAUGUUCAUGGUCAUGAGUCAUGACCAUUUGAUUAAAAGGGCAUGGUUCCCUUCAGAAACUGGUUCAGCCACACCUCAAUGUUGCUUUGUAAUCAAAUGCAACUGAGGAACUAACUGUCAAUAGGAGGUAGGAUUUUCAAAACGGCAAAACGCCAACUUCAGCAACAUUUGCGCGCACUGCCGUAUAUGUGUACUCCAUGUUUUGAUCUAAAGAAAUACAAUAGAAGAUUCAGGAAAUUUGUGAAUUAAUCUAAAUAUUGGUCGCAAGAUAUGAUAGCAAACUGAAAUAUCUGACAGUAUUCAACACGAUGUGUAUAGGGAAUUUGUUAUUAAAAGCUUAAUAUGACAAGAAUGCUCCUCUUACCAACAAUAGAAAUUUAUGGAAUACCACCCAAGUUUGUAUUCGGAAACAAAAGUUCUAGUCAUUUUUAAUUGAUACAGAAAACAAGCUCUGGACGUGGCCUUGUAGUUUACAAAAAUAAUUCCCAUGUUUAAUGUUCAAAACACAAAAAUGGCUGUUUUGUAUGAAAUCAAAGUAUGAGAAAUAACACAAAUAAUAUCAAAAAACUGUGAUGGUUUGUAUUGAUAACAUUGUUAAAGGGAGAGACACUUUUUUCUAACUCCCUACUCCUCAGUUACAAAAAGUAUUUACAUGAUUGACAACUCGUGUCUACACCAAAAAAAUAAAAAAUUUGUUAAGCUCAAUCAUGGACCACUCCAUGGAAAAUUUUGCUUUAAUACUUUUUCAGCAUCUGGCUUACAAGGUAAUCAGCUGAGUGAUUAGAUCUAUGAAAGUGUCUUCAUCACAGGGAAUUGUGAGACCUCCCAUUGGAUGACUAAACCCAAAUUCUUCCUCUGCUUGUUGUAGUAAGUCUUGGAACGAUGGAUGGUUCAAGUAUGAUAAUGGAACCACAAACCGUCUCUUUUGGCUCUCUCCAACAUAAACUGCGAUGUGUCCUCUUGGAACAAUAGAGGUUUCUUCUUUAUUCGAAAGAGACCGUCGAAGACUUCUCUUAAUAUGUGGAAUGCCUGGCAACCGAAUAGCCAUGGAUGCAAGAAGGAAAAAAAUGUUUAAUGGUUUCGUGUGAAUACUUGGAUUUGGAAUGUUGGAUGAUACUUUUAGCUAAUACAUGUGUAUAUUUAUAGGGAGGAAAUGGUGAUCAAGAAAGUUUCAUAACGCAAGUUAAGAGACAUGCCCUUGUGAAGGAUCACAUGAUUUUGUCUGCUAUCUUUAAUUUCUGUACAGGGUGGUUACACUGAUCCAUUGCUAUAUUGCAAUGAUAAACAAACAACAUGUCCUACCAAGUAGAAGGCAGUACAGAUGAGUAGGCACUCACUCAAUUUAUAUUGUAUGUACCAUCAAGAAAACAUGAAGAUUAGGUUUGCCUAAACAGAUGUCGAUGUAGGACAGAUAAUUAGGUUAGCCUAAACACCUACUUGCCGUUCACCACAUAAGUUCAGGUGGGCCUAUUUAAAGCUGUUAAUAAAAAUGAUAGGCCAUAGGGGGGGCAGAAAUAAGUGGUACAAGUUGACCACUUAAACAAAUCAUGCUAAUCAGUUGCAAGGCAGAACCAUGUGAAACUUCAUGAGGCAUGUCCCUUACCAAGGCAAUACAUCUCUCUCUAUCUUUAUAUAUAUAUAUAGAUUAUGCAUAAGAAGGAUAUCAUCCAAAUUCAUUGCUUCACAAUCCAAAGUUUGUAAUACUUUCCAGAGUAAAACCUCUCUUAAACUUUUUAUUAUUGAAACCAUGGGUAUUCGUUUGCCAGGAGGAAUGCUCCGGGCCAAACAAUUUCUUCAACGAGCUACCCUUACAUCAAUGGCCACAGAAGUUCCUAAAGGCCACUUAGCAGUUUAUGUAGGAGAACACACAUCAAAGAAGCGAUAUGUUGUUCCAAUGUCAUUCCUAAACCAACCUACAUUCCAAGACUUACUAAGUAAAGCAGAAGAAGAGUACGGAUUCGUACAUCCAAUGGGUGGACUUACAAUUCCAUGCAACGAAGAUAUGUUCAUCAAUCUCACCUCAAGUCUGUACUGAUCAUGGCAGAUGAGGAGGACUAAUACAGAGAGAGUAGAAAAUUUUGCUAGAAACAAAAUCAGUUUAACAAAAGCGAUUGACUGACAAGAUUAGCAAGUCAUCAAAUUUUGUAUACAGUAGGGGUUAGAAAAGUAUCAAAACAACGUCUAUAUACUUUUUUGUUAAUGCUCUAUUUUUAUCGCAUUCAACCUAAUGACUUGUAUGCAUUUGCUUACAAAAUCAUGUACAGUAUGGUGUUCCUGAGCAUGCCAUAUUUAUUUAGUAAAUAAAUAACCGCUAUAAUAAGAAAUUCAAAAUUUUCAUAGCAAUUUACCAUAAACAGCCGAAAUUUCACAGCAAGAUAGUAUGACUACAAUGAAUUAUUAGAAACUCCUUAUAGUGUAACCAUGGAAAUCAAAGAAGAAAUUUCAAUAAAAAAUAACAAAUUACCUCAUCAGUUCUAAGGAUAGAUAAAGUAGUAGCACCUUCUAGCCGAAACCCUAGUGUAUGAGCCACCCCCACCAGGGACGAAAUUGGUCCAUGAACGAUCACAUCACCAUCAGCACCACCACUCGUUGCUCAGCAAACGUUUGAUGAAAUUCCGAAUCAUGAGCAAAAACAUCUCCUUUUAGAAGACUGCUGUAGGAGAACAUAGCAGCACUCUGUCUAUUUUCCCGGUAAGACCGACUGGUGUAACUUGUAAGGAAGCCAGUUAUUAGGGCUGCAUUGCAAUUUGCAAGCUUAUAUUUAGGCCUUUGAGUUUAUUAAGUUACUAUGUUAAUCCCAAUGGUCAUCAUCACCAAUCUAAUCAAAUAAUAUAACUACGGGCAAGCAAGGCUCCCUACUUGACUAAAGUAAGUAGGUAACCACUGUCCACUGAUAUGUUCAUUGUUCACUGAUCACUCAUUUGUGCCAAAAUAGUGUUAAAUAGGUAGGUGGUGCGAUACUGGAAACACUAGCUUCAUUCAUUAGUGUAAAUUACAUCCCUGGGUUGAUCUAGAUAGCAAUAUCUGACAGUGGCAAAGACGCGCACUCUUGUUGCCUACAAUACAGAUUACUUGCUCAACAGUAAACACUACCUAAGUUUGUACUGGCGGUCUACUGAUAUGAUCUUGUAGCUAAUAAAAAUAUGCAAAGACAGUCAUCCCAUCAGGUUUCUAUAAUACAAAAAUAGGGAACAUGUCACAAAUAAUAUGAAGUGUAAUGGUUUGUAUUGAUAACAUUGUUAAAGGGAGAUGCUUCUCUUUUCAAACUCCCUAUUUCUCUGUUACAAAAAAUGUAUAUGCAUUUACAUGGUUUCAACAACUCAGUGUGUCAACCAAAAAAAAAAAAAUCGGUGUUAUGUUAAGCUCAAUCAUGGACUAGCCCAUGGAAACAUGCUGCUGCAGUACUUCCUUAGCACCUGAAUUAUAAGGUGAUCACUCGAGUAGUUA